AAUGAACGUUGGCGGCGUGGAUUAGGCAUGCAAGUCGAGCGAGAACCGGAGCAAUACGGGGACAGCGGCGAAAGGGAGAGGAAUACGUGGAUACCUACCCUCAGGUUCAGGAUAGCUGUGGGAAACUACAGGUAAUACUGAAUAAUAUCUCCGGAUCAAAGGUGUGAUUACGCCGGAGGAGGGGUCCACGUCCUAUUAGCUAGUUGGUGAGGUAACGGCGCACCAAGGCGAAGAUGGGUACGGGGUGUGAGAGCAUGCCACCGCGCACUGGGACUGAGAGACUGCCCAGACACCUGCGGGUGGCUGCAGUCGAGAAUCUUCGGCAAUGGGCGCAAGCCUGACCGAGCGACGCCGCGUGCGAGAUGAAGGCCUUCGGGUUGUAAAUCGCUGUCAGAGGGGAGGAAAUGCCGGUGGGUUCUCCCAUCGGUUUGACCUAUCCUCAGAGGAAGGACGGGCUAAGUUCGUGCCAGCAGCCGCCGUAACAC
rnacentral:rRNA from 1 species